rnacentral:lncRNA from 1 species
UGUUAACCAGCUCUUCAGGUGCGCCUUCUUUAACUGCAAAUGUACCCUCCCUGCUGUACAUGCUCUCACCUAGCGCCUAGGAGGACUGGCUGGCGCCUCUGCUCCUUUAAGGCAAUGAGGAAUUAAAGUGGCUGCAGAGGCAGGGGAGAGGGUUAUGAGGCAGCGAGGGUUACCGCAUGGACCAACGCGAUUAAAAGGGCAGUGGGAAGAUGCGCGUGCUUGCCUCUUGCUGGACGGAGAGAGGUGGUGAAGAUGGUCUGACUUCAGCUCAUCCGGAUUGGGUUUUCAUUCUUAUUGAACUGACCGUUUACUCUUUAUUUUAAGUUAUUUUAUUUGUCACAUUUUGUUUCCCAACCUGCUUCUAUUUUUCAGUUUUCGAUUUAAGAUGCGUUUUUUGGAUUCCACAUUGUUAUUGUUUAGGUGUCCCCGUUUUAACACCCAGACAUUUAUUUGAGGACCUAUCGUUGCCCGCGUGCCACUACCCUGACUCAGCAUCACACCUGGACUGCAGGCGAGCACUGUAGCCCCCUCGAGCAUCCCUUUGAAGAGCAGGGGAAGUAGCAAGGCACGGAGGACCAGAGUAGAGCUGAGCAGAGUCCGAUCACAGCUUUAACCAAGACAAUCAGAGAUACAUAUACUAUAUCCUCCAAGCGUAAAGAGGGGUCGGAAAGGGGAGAGGAAGAGUAGGCUACGAGAGUACCAGGGAGGGAGUUAUAGAGAAACAAGGAGGAGACGUUGAAGACAUCAGAUCAGCAGAGAGUUGGACUGGUUACUACAAGCUAGUAGCAAAUGUUUAACAUUACACCUGCCACAGAACAUAAUUAUAGGAAGGCAGCGGUCAAAGAGUGCGGAGGAAGACGAGAAAGCAUAGCUUUGGGGGAUUUGAACGGAGCGGGGCAUGUGGAUAUUUGCAGUUAUCUUUUUCCAGAGCAUCUUAAAUGUUUUUAGUGAAGAUCUACGUUCCAGCUUAUAUUUUGUCAAUGCAUCUUUGCAAGAGGUAGUGUUUGCCAGCACCACAGGGACCCUGGUGCCCUGUCCCGCUGCAGGGGUGCCCCCCGCCUCGCUGCGCUGGUACCUGGCCACUGAAGAGGAGAUCUACGAUGUGCCCGGGAUCCGCCACGUGCACCCCAAUGGCACUCUCCAGAUCUUUAACUUCCUCCCCUCCAGCUUUAGUAAGCUUAUCCAUGACAAUACCUACUAUUGCACAGCUGAAAAUCCUUCAGGGAAAAUAAGAAGUCAAGAUGUCCACAUUAAGGCCGUAUUUCGGGAACCCUACACGGUUCGGGUGGAGGACCAGAAAGCCAUGAGAGGCAAUGUAGCGGUCUUCAAGUGCAUUAUCCCAGCCUCCGUGGAGGCUUACGUCACUGUCGUAUCGUGGGAGAAAGACACAGUCUCACUAUCCUCAGGACCUAGAGUUCUCAUCACAACCACAGGAGCCUUGUAUAUUCUGGAUGUCCAGAAUGAGGAUGGACUGUAUAACUACCGCUGUACCACACGGCAUCGCUACACUGGCGAGACCAGGCAAAGCAACAGCGCCCGGCUUUUUGUGUCAGAUCCCACUAACUCAGAGCCGGGGAUUCUGGAUGGCUUUGACCGUCGGGAGGUCAUGGCGUCCCAUCGGGUAGAGCUGCCCUGUAAGGCGUCGGGCCAUCCCAUGCCCAAGUACCGCUGGCUGAAGGACAACAGCCCCCUGGAGCCCGACACACGUUUCCGCCAGAGUGUCACGGGCUUGCUGAUAGAGAGCGCCCAGCCCACCGACUCUGGCACCUACGUGUGUGAGGUGUGGAACAGCUAUGGCAACGCUGAGGUGGUGGGCCGGCUGCUGGUCAAACAGCCCCUGAAGGCGGUGGUCAGCCCACGAAAGGUGAAGGGCAGCGUGGGUAGUAAGGUGUCCUUGCAUUGCAGUGUCAGUGGCUCUGAUGAGUACGAGCUGUCCUGGUACCGUAACGGAGAGAUCAUCUACCCCGGCAACAACGUGCGGAUCACAGGCAUCAGCAGGGAGAACCUGAUCAUGGAGGGCAUGGCCAAGAGCGACGGAGGGGCCUACCAAUGUUUCGCCAGGAAGAACAAAAUGUCCGCUCAGGAUUUUGUUCCGGUCAUCUUGGAGGACGGCACUCCAAAGAUUCUGUUCUCCUUCAGUGAGAAGGUGGUCAACCCCAACGAACCGGUCUUCCUGGUGUGUAACGUCAAAGGCACUCCCCCUCCCUCCUGCACCUGGAACCUGGACGACGACCCGGUCAUCAAGGACAACCACCACCACCCUGGCCACUACGAGACCAAUGAGGGCCACGUGGUCAGCCAGCUGAACAUCACUCACACCAAGGAGGUGGACGGAGGGGUGUAUCGCUGCACCUGCAGGAACUCGGCCGGGGCGGUCUACCACCAGGCUCGAAUAAACGUAAGAGGGGCUGCCAGCAUCCGUCCAAUGAAAAACAUCACGGCCAUCGCAGGGCGGGACGCGUACGUCCACUGUCGCGUUAUUGGCUACCCGUAUUAUUCCAUCAAGUGGUAUAAGAACUCCCACCUGCUCCCCUUCAACCACAGGCAGCGGGCCUUCGAGAACAACGGCACUCUGAAGCUGUCUAACGUGCAGGAGCUGGACCAGGGAGAGUACAAUUGCAGGGUAUUGGUCAAACCUCACCAAGAGACCAAUCAGAGCGUCCAUCUCAGUGUCAAAGUUCCACCGUACAUCCAGCCCUUUGCAUUCCAGCGGUUCUCCAUUGGCCAGCGUGUCUUCAUCCCCUGCGUGGUAAUGUCAGGUGACCAGCCCCUGGACAUCACAUGGCAGAAGGACGGGCGGCCAAUCCCUGCCAGUCUGGGGGUCACCAUCGACAACAUAGAGUUCACCAGCUCACUGCGGAUCUCCAACCUGUCCCCAGACCACAACGGAAACUACACCUGCAUUGCACGCAACGAGGCUGCAGCCGUUGAGCACCAGAGUCAGCUCAUUGUCCGGGUUCCUCCCCAGUUUGUGGUGCAGCCCACAGACCAGGAUGGGAUCUAUGGCAAAACUGUGACCCUCAACUGCUCUGCUGAGGGUUAUCCACGCCCCACCCUCGUAUGGAAGCACUCCAAAGGUAACGGGGUUCCCCAGUUCCAGCCCAUCGCCCUGAACUCUGGCUCCCGUAUCCAGCUGCUGGUCAACGGCUCUCUGCUCAUCAAACACGUGCUGGAGGAGGACAGCGGCUACUACCUGUGUAAGGUCAGCAACGAUGUGGGAGCUGACGUCAGCAAGUCCAUGUACCUCACCGUCAAAAUCCCGGCCAUGAUCACGUCGUACCCCAACACCACCAUGGCCACGGUGGGCCAGCAGAAGGAGAUGAGCUGCACGGCCCACGGGGAAAAGCCCAUCAUGGUGCGCUGGGAGAAGGAGGAACGCAUCAUCAACCCAGAGACCAGCCGCUACACCGUCGUGGUCAAAGAGGUGGCUGACGAGGUCAUCUCCACUCUGAAGAUUUUGCCCACUGUUCGGGAAGAUUCUGGAUUCUUCUCCUGCCAUGCAAUCAACUCCUAUGGUGAAGACAGAGGGAUCAUUCAGUUAACAGUGCAAGAACCUCCAGACCCUCCCGAGGUGGAGAUCCGAGAGGUCAGAGACCGGACAAUCGCCCUCCGCUGGACCAUGGGCUUCGACGGAAACAGCCCUAUCACAGGAUAUGACAUUGAGUGCAAGAACAAAUCAGCCUCGUGGAAUUCAGCCCAGAUAACAAAAGACGUGUCCCCCCAGCUGAACCAGGCCACCAUUAUAGACCUGCACCCCUCCUCCACCUACAACAUCCGCAUUUUCGCCAAGAACGACAUCGGCAAGAGCGACACCAGCAACGAGCUCACUAUCACCACUGACGAAGCAGCCCCCGAUGGCCCUCCACAGGAAGUACAACUGGAGGCCACCUCUCCACAAAGCAUCAAAGUCACCUGGAAGGCCCCCCACAAGCACCUUCAGAACGGGGUGAUCCGGGGCUACCAGGUGGGUUACAGAGAGUACAGCUCUGGAGGCAGCUUCCAGUUUAACAUCAUCAGCAUGGACACCACAGGGGACAGCAGCGAGAGCAUCACCCUGGACAACCUGAGGAAGUUCACUGAGUACGGGGUGGUGGUGCAGGCGGCUAACCGUGCUGGCACCGGGCCCUCCUCUCAGGAGGUCAUCACCAAAACACUGGAGGAUGUCCCCUCGCGUCCCCCUGAGAAUGUCCUGGCCAUGGCCAAGUCUCCAGAAGUCAUCUCUCUGUCCUGGUUGACCCUGCCCAAAGAGGCCCUGAAUGGAAACCUGCAGGGCUACCGAGUCAUCUACUGGGCCAACCUGGCAGAUGGAGAGUUGGGAGAGAUCAGGAACGUGACCACCUCCUACCCAUCUCUGGAACUGGAUGGUCUGGAGAAAUACACCAACUACAGCAUCCAGGUUCUGGCCUUCACCCGGGCAGGGGACGGGGUGCGCAGCGAGCAGAUCUUCACCCGGACCAAGGAAGACAUCCCUGGGCCUCCAGCGGGGGUUAAGGCCGCAGCCUCCACCAGCUCCGUGGUGUUUGUGUCCUGGCUCCCUCCUCUCAAACUCAACGGCAUUAUCAGGAAGUACAUUGUCUUCUGCUCCAACCACCCCACGGUGAUGAGUGAGUUUGAGGCUUCUCCUGAUGUGUAUUUCUACAGAGUGCCAAACCUGGCCCGCAACAGGAAGUACAGCAUCUGGGUGGUUGCCGUGACAGCCGCUGGGCGAGGCAACAGCAGUGAGACCAUCACAGUGGAACCUCGGGCCAAAGCUCCGGCCAGGAUCCUGACGUUCAACGGAACAGUGACUACACCCUGGAUGAGGGACAUCGUCCUGCCCUGCAAGGCGGUCGGAGAUCCACCCCCCACCAUCAAGUGGCUGAAGGGAAACAAUGGUACCCCUGCUCCUGUUCUGAUUGACGGACGCCACAGUGUCCAUAGCAACGCUAGUUUCAUCAUCCGGACGGUGAAAGCAGAGGACUCUGGGAACUACAGCUGUGUGGCCAGCAACAACUGGGGCUCUGAUGAAAUCACGCUGAACCUACAGGUUCAAGUUCCUCCAGACCAACCACGCCUCACAGUUACCAAGACAACUACCACGUCAAUCACUCUGUCCUGGAUACCUGGGGACAACGGAGGAAGCUCCAUCAGAGGCUACAUCCUGCAGUACUCAGAGGACAACAGUGAGCAGUGGGGCAGCUUUCCCAUCAGCCCUAGCGAGCGCUCGUACCGUCUGGAGAACCUGAAGUGUGGCACCUGGUACAAGUUCACCCUGACUGCUCAGAACGGAGUGGGCCCCGGACGCAUCAGUGAGAUCAUUGAAGCGAAGACCCACGGAAAAGAGCCCCAGUUUGCCAAAGAACAUGAGCUGUUUGCCAGCAUCAACUCCACCCGGGUCAGGCUCAAUCUAAUUGGGUGGAACAAUGGUGGCUGCCCAAUCACCUCGUUCACCCUGGAGUACCAUCCGAUGGACACGGCAACGUGGACCACGGCUCAGCGCACCUCGCUAACCAAGAGCUACAUCCUGUAUGACCUGGCGGAGGCCACCUGGUACGAACUGCAGAUGAAAGUGGUCAACAGCGCCGGCUCCGCCGAGAAGAAGAUCAUGUUCGCCACGCUCAACGCCGAUGGAAGCACCAUCCCUCCUUUGUUGAAGACAGUGGACCCCAUCACAGACAACAUGUCAGGCAACGAGGGGCUGAAGAUGAUGGUGACCAUCACCUGUAUCCUGGUGGCUGCUGUCAUGGUCUUCAUCCUCCUGAUGGUACUGAAGAGGAGGAGGAGGGAGCAGAGGCUCAAGAGGCUACGCGAUGCAAAAAGCCUGGCAGAAAUGCUGAUGAGUAAAAACACACGGACACCAGACACAUCCAACAAGCAGCAGACCAUGAGAAUGCACAUCGAUAUCCCCCGAGCCCAGCUGCUCAUCGAGGAGAGAGAUACUAUGGAGAUUAUUGACGACAGGUCGACGGUGCUGCUGACUGAUAAUGACUUUGGGGAGACGUCCAAACAGAAGUCGUCCACGGUCACGCACACAGUCCAUUACCAGUCCCUGUCGCAGGCCACCGGCCCACUGGUGGACGUCUCUGACGCCCGGCCUGGAACCAGUAAGAACCCCACAGCACGCCGCACUGCCAAAGCAGGCCCUGCAGCCAGCAGGAACCGCUAUGCCAGCCAGUGGACUCUGAACCGGCCACAACCACCCACCUCCUCCCACACCCUGAGCACAGACUGGAGACUGCCCACACCGCGCGCCACCGGCUCUGUGGACAAGGAGAGCGACAGCUACAGCGUCAGCCCAUCGCAGGACACAGACCGCGCGCGGAGCAGCAUGGUGUCGACGGAGAGCGCGUCGUCUACGUACGAAGAGCUAGCCCGGGCCUAUGAGCACGCCAAGAUGGAGGAGCACCUGCGGCACGCCAAGUUCACUAUCACAGAGUGCUUCAUCUCCGACACCUCCUCAGAGCAAAUGACGGCCGGCACCAACGAGUACACAGACAGCCUAGCAUCUAGCACGCCUUCUGAGUCAGGCAUCUGCAGGUUCACCGCCUCCCCGCCCAAGCCUCAGGACAUCAGCCGGGUCAUGAACAUGGCCGCACCAAAGGCCCACAGACCGGGUGGAGAGCUGGUGCACCUGCCCCCGUACCUACGCAUGGACUUCCUGUUAAACCGUGGCUCUGUGUCGGGAGGCCGGGGGUCCAACGGUGGUAACGGAGGAGGGGAGGCAGGGGCGUUGGGCCAGGCGUGUCUGGAGCCCCAGAAGAGCCGCACCCUGAAACGGCCCCCGCUCCUGGAGCCCACACCCAUGGAGGUGCCCACGUCCAGGGAGGUGCAGCAGUGGCAGCCAGGGACUGCCUCCACACUGCCCCAGCGUGAGCCCACUGGCCGUGAGGCCACCGGAGAUCUGGCCCAGGCACAGGCCGCCAAGCUCAGCAGCUCACAGGAGUCCCUGCUAGACUCCAGAGGACACUUAAAACAGAGCAACAACCCCUACGCAAAGUCCUACACACUGGUAUAACACAAGGAGUUACGUUACACACUCCAGGACUUGGACUGUAUACUGUACUGCAGCUCUACACAGAGAGCUGGCAUGGAACAAUGAUGAUGAUGGACACUUUUCAACAACAACUGAAGUUGUAUAUUUCUGACUCCAAGUAUUCCUUUCUUUUGUUCUUUCUCCCUUCUUUCCACUUCUGGCUCUCUCAUUUCUCAGUUUUAUUUUCUAUUUUGAGUAUUAUUUUAUUCUAAACACCAUAUGAAGAUUGCCAAAUAAUGUAUUUAAAUUUGACAGAGAAAAAUACUAUUGAAUUUAUAUCAAGGAUAAUUACAGUCAUUAUUAUUAUAUAUAAAAAUAUAGAAAUGUCUAAAAACAAGAAGAAGAGGAGGAGGACUCUGCAGGAGGAUGUUGCUUUCUUCAUUUAUUUAUUUUGUAUGUCGCAGUGUGAUCAAAUCGAUGAUUAGGUAUCUGGCCGUUUUUCAACAACGAGAGGAGCCAAGGAAAAGAACUCCAUUAAAGCUGAACCUGUCUGUCCAUGCUGUCUACUCAAUCUCCUCAGAUAGAUUGUUACUACGUUCUUCAACCUUUCCAAUGACUGCAUGGGGACUGAUCUAUGACAAUUAUAGGAAUGGCUGGGAAAUCCAAAAGAGAAUUUUGUCACACUAUGAAAAUUAUACAAUGUGAAUAUAUAUAAAAGAGAUCACUUUUAUUUGUGGAUAUUACAGGGGAAAUGAUUUGGUUAAUAAAGUCCUUAGUCAUGUUUGCA